UACGAAGGGGGCUAGCGUUGUUCGGAAUCACUGGGCGUAAAGCGCACGUAGGCGGAUUUGUUAGUCAGGGGUGAAAUCCCGAGGCUCAACCUCGGAACUGCCUUUGAUACUGCAAAUCUCGAGUCCGGAAGAGGUGAGUGGAAUUCCUAGUGUAGAGGUGAAAUUCGUAGAUAUUAGGAAGAACACCAGUGGCGAAGGCGGCUCACUGGUCCGGUACUGACGCUGAGGUGCGAAAGCGUGGGGAGCAAACAGG
rnacentral:rRNA from 1 species